UCCAGCCUGCCAAGCCUCGCUGCUACCGAGAGCUACCACACUUACUGCUAAGGCCACGUCCUACACGUAAAAUUGAGAAAACAUCUUUUCGUUUUCUGCAUGAAUCAGUAAGAACGUGUGCCCUACUGCGGGAAGUUUGGACCAGCAAGCAAGGUUUUUCUCUUCCUUGACUGGU